GAUGAACGCUGGCGGCGUGCCUAAUACAUGCAAGUCGAGCGAACAGACGAGGAGCUUGCUCCUCUGACGUUAGCGGCGGACGGGUGAGUAACACGUGGAUAACCUACCUAUAAGACUGGGAUAACUUCGGGAAACCGGAGCUAAUACCGGAUAAUAUAUUGAGCCGCAUGGUUCAAUAGUGAAAGACGGUUUUGCUGUCACUUAUAGAUGGAUCCGCGCCGCAUUAGCUAGUUGGUAAGGUAACGGCUUACCAAGGCAACGAUGCGUAGCCGACCUGAGAGGGUGAUCGGCCACACUGGAACUGAGACACGGUCCAGACUCCUACGGGAGGCAGCAGUAGGGAAUCUUCCGCAAUGGGCGAAAGCCUGACGGAGCAACGCCGCGUGAGUGAUGAAGGUCCUCGGAUCGUAAAACUCUGUUAUUAGGGAAGAACAAAUGUGUAAGUAACUAUGCACGUCUUGACGGUACCUAAUCAGAAAGCCACGGCUAACUACGUG
rnacentral:rRNA from 1 species